rnacentral:rRNA from 1 species
AGUGAAAUAGAACCUGAAACCGUGUGCUUACAAGUAGUCAGAGCCCGUUAAUGGGUGAUGGCGUGCCUUUUGUAGAAUGAACCGGCGAGUUACGAUUUGAUGCAAGGUUAAGCAGUAAAUGUGGAGCCGUAGCGAAAGCGAGUCUGAAUAGGGCGUUUAGUAUUUGGUCGUAGACCCGAAACCAGGUGAUCUACCCUUGGUCAGGUUGAAGUUCAGGUAACACUGAAUGGAGGACCGAACCGACUUACGUUGAAAAGUGAGCGGAUGAACUGAGGGUAGCGGAGAAAUUCCAAUCGAACCUGGAGAUAGCUGGUUCUCUCCGAAAUAGCUUUAGGGCUAGCCUCAAGUGAUGAUUAUUGGAGGUAGAGCACUGUUUGGACGAGGGGCCCCUCUCGGGUUACCGAAUUCAGACAAACUCCGAAUGCCAAUUAAUUUAACUUGGGAGUCAGAACAUGGGUGAUAAGGUCCGUGUUCGAAAGGGAAACAGCCCAGACCACCAGCUAAGGUCCCAAAAUAUAUGUUAAGUGGAAAAGGAUGUGGCGUUGCCCAGACAACUAGGAUGUUGGCUUAGAAGCAGCCAUCAUUUAAAGAGUGCGUAAUAGCUCACUAGUCGAGUGACACUGCGCCGAAAAUGUACCGGGGCUAAACAUAUUACCGAAGCUGUGGAUUGUCCUUUGGACAAUGGUAGGAGAGCGUUCUAAGGGCGUUGAAGCAUGAUCGUAAGGACAUGUGGAGCGCUUAGAAGUGAGAAUGCCGGUGUGAGUAGCGAAAGACGGGUGAGAAUCCCGUCCACCGAUUGACUAAGGUUUCCAGAGGAAGGCUCGUCCGCUCUGGGUUAGUCGGGUCCUAAGCUGAGGCCGACAGGCGUAGGCGAUGGAUAACAGGUUGAUAUUCCUGUACCACCUAUAAUCGUUUUAAUCGAUGGGGGGACGCAGUAGGAUAGGCGAAGCGUGCGAUUGGAUUGCACGUCUAAGCAGUAAGGCUGAGUAUUAGGCAAAUCCGGUACUCGUUAAGGCUGAGC